rnacentral:rRNA from 1 species
GAUGAACGCUGACAGAAUGCUUAACACAUGCAAGUCUACUUGAAGCUAACUUCGGUUAGUGGAGAGUGGCGGACGGGUGAGUAACGCGUAAAGAACUUGCCUCACAGUUUGGGACAACAUUUGGAAACGAAUGCUAAUACCGGAUAUUAUGAUACUUCUGCAUGGAAGAAUCAUGAAAGCUAUAUGCGCUGUGAGAGAGCUUUGCGUCCCAUUAGCUAGUUGGAGAGGUAACGGCUCACCAAGGCGAUGAUGGGUAGCCGGCCUGAGAGGGUGAACGGCCACAAGGGGACUGAGACACGGCCCUUACUCCUACGGGAGGCAGCAGUGGGGAAUAUUGGACAAUGGACCAAAAGUCUGAUCCAGCAAUUCUGUGUGCACGAUGAAGUUUUUCGGAAUGUAAAGUGCUUUCAGUUGGGAAGAAGCAAGUGACGGUACCAACAGAAGAAGCGACGGCUAAAUACGUGCCAGCAGCCGCGGUAAUACGUAUGUCGCAAGCGUUAUCCGGAUUUAUUGGGCGUAAAGCGCGUCUAGGUGGUUAUAUAAGUCUGAUGUGAAAAUGCGGGGCUCAACUCCGUAUUGCGUUGGAAACUGUAUGACUAGAGUACUGGAGAGGUAAGCGGAACUACAAGUGUAGAGGUGAAAUUCGUAGAUAUUUGUAGGAAUGCCGAUGGGGAAGCCAGCUUACUGGACAGAUACUGACGCUAAAGCGCGAAAGCGUGGGUAGCAAACAGG